UUUAUAUAUAAAAGACAUUAUCUAAACAGGAAGAAAAAUCAAGUCUAUGAUUAUACAAUCCCUAAGAUUAAGCAACUAACCCAUCUAUCAAUAUUUACUUCCUAUAUUAAUAUAUUUACUUCCUAUAAUCUAUAACACUCCCCCUCAAGUUGGAGCAUAAAUGUUAAUUAUGCCCAACUUGUUACAUAUAUAAUCAACUCGUCCCAUACAACUUAGUAGACAUCGAAUUUGUGAACCCAACUUCUUCCAAUAAUUGACGUACCAACAAAACUUCACAAACGGUUUUUGCCAUGACUCGACAUUCAGGUUCAGUACUAGAACGGGAGACCACAUUUUCUCAGCUUGGUAAAACGCCUUACACACAUCAUAAAUACGAGAAAUAUUCCCUUUGCCAUAAUAUAGAAAUUCCAAAUACUCCAUUAAUUCUUUAACAAAUUCAGAAUGAUUAAUAAAACUAAUCACCUUACUGUGAAUAGAAU
rnacentral:lncRNA from 1 species